GCGCCGCCAGCCCGAGGAACCGCCACCAGGAGGGGGAGGAGGAUCCUUACACCCCAGGCCUCUAGCUCUGCCAGCCAGGGAACCUGCGGUGGCUUCCUCUACUUCCUCCAGCUUCCUAGCCUGGUCUGAGAGUCCAGCUCUGGGCUGGGGAGGAGGAAGUCGCGGCCCAGAGGGGACAGCAACAGGUGGGAAGCUCAGCCGCCACGCCGCUGACUAAUUGCAGCCUGGCCUUGGGCAAAAAGCUUCCUAGUGGGUCUCUGGGACCCACACUUUCCAGUUUCUUUCCAGGGUGGAAGCCGGCUCUACACGUUCCUGUAAGGGCCUGAGAGGUGUCAAUGCCUGAGAAAGAUGCCUGCGUCAGGGAGGGAAUGACUGAUCACUGGGGUGCGUCUCCCUCUGUCCCUUCUCCUGCAUAUAGACCUUGGAAACCACAGCGCAUUCAACUGCAGCUCGCGGAUAAUCCGCUAAUUAAACAGCGAAAAUGUCCCGGGACCUGUACUCAGUAACCAGCAAGAUUUAGAUGGGCACAAGUACAGCAAUGGCUUGUCUGACCAGGCUGUUUUCUCCGCCUGAAUGAUGGUGAAUUACUUACAGAAAGUGCCUGGACUUCUCUAGCGGGUGUGGGGGGAAGGGAGGGAGCCGCUGGUUCCUCUCGCCUUGUCCGCCCUCCAUCUCUCUCUUCACCACCGCCCGGCACGCUCUGCUCAUGUAAAAUCAGAACAAUUAGAGAGUAAUGAAUUCUCUGGAACAGUACCUACAGACUCUCAGCUCUGCCCUCGCACCAGCGCCUCCCAGCCCUCCUUCCCAGCAACCAGGCAAGAGUAUAGCGGACCCUCAAAAACCAGCUUCGGCUUUAACCGUGCCUGCAUCCUGACAGUUUAGAAACGAAUUCUUUAGUGAGUGUGUAAAGUGAGUGCACGGUCUCUCUGAAUAUGAGCGUUGGUAUCCUAGCGAAGCUUUGUUCUUAAAAGAUCAGCGUUUAGGAGUCUAUCUUCCGCGGAGUUUGCAGUCCGGCUUAAUGACUAUGCUUCAGGAGCUCCAAAGCAACUCGCAUACCUUUUAUUUAAACCCCUAAAGAUUGCGUUGAGUCACCAAACUACUCGACAAAGCAUUUCGCAUUCCUGGUUGUACAAGCAGGUGUGGUGUGAAUAUCUCAGGCUGGAACCAUCCUGUGCAGAAUUUCUGGAUUCUAAUCUCUACUGGGCUGAUACAUUAUAUAACCAAGAUUGUUAAAAAUAUAUGGUGAAUAAAGCAAAUAUGAUCUAACAAA